UACGAAGGGGGCGAGCGUUGUUCGGAUUUACUGGGCGUAAAGGGCGCGCAGGCGGCUAUCCAAGUCAGGCGUGAAAGCCCCGGGCUUAACCUGGGAGGUGCGUCUGGGACUGGGUGGCUAGAGUUCGGGAGAGGAGAGUGGAAUUCCCAGUGUAGAGGUGAAAUUCGUAGAUAUUGGGAAGAACACCGGUGGCGAAGGCGGCUCUCUGGACCGAGACUGACGCUGAGGCGCGAAAGCGUGGGAGCAACAGG
rnacentral:rRNA from 1 species